AAAAGUUUAUAUAUAUUAUUGUCUAUUACAAUGUUUAAGAAACUUGCCUAAAUUCUCUAAUGCACUGUUUAAGGAUACAGUAAUCCUUUAAGAGUCAGGGUAAUUUUUUUUUACAAUAUUUUUUUAAAUUUUUAUUCUUUGGGAUAUUUUCCUUGAAUUUUUAAAGAGAUUCAAAAAUAUUCAUUGGUAAGAGAGGGAAAAUGUGACGAUUCCAGGGAAUUUGAUAACAAGCUAUAAUUAUCGAUAGCUAUUUAGCGAUAAUUAGUUGAAAAAAUAAUAAAAUUAUCGCUAAAAGGAAAUUGAUUAGCCAUAAAGCUAUAUAGCGAUAAUCAAUGCUAAGCUAUACUUAUUGCUAACUUAUUUUUUUUCUCUGCCGAUAUUGAUAAUAACGCAAUAUGGAUGACGCAUGCAUUUUAUUGCUAAUUAUGCAGAAAGCAAGUAGGACACCAUUCUUUCAAUGUUGCAAAAACGGUUUGCUUGAUGUUUUCAUAAAUAGUAUUAAUACUCUUUUUAGAAUUAUGAAUAUAUUUUGCUUGAUCGCUGGAAAAAAUAAAACAUUAAUUUAGUUAGUCUCGUUCUGCAAAAUACCCCAUGCUGUAAACAUGCAGCACUGUCCAGAGCCCUUUAUUUUAGAUUAUUCUUUUGCACGCAGUGGCUGCGCUGAAACAAAACUUCAAUAAAUUAGCUUACUACUUUAUAACAAAUCUUGGAACGCUGGUGAAGAAAAUGUAUAGGAUCAUGUACUUUUGACAAACGGUUGAAGAGAUGUUGAGGUUAAAAGGUUUUUUGAUGACGUCAUCAACCCAUCCAUUCCGAAACGGAUUUGGGGACCCAGGUUUGGGAAACUUACCCAAAUUGCUCCCAGGUGGUCCCUAGUUACCCACGCGGUGAAAAAAGACUGACAUCACCACCUCGUUUCCAAGUUAUUUAGCCUCAGAGUUUUAAGUGCAUUGUAAUGACUUUACUGAUCUUAAUAUACUUUCCUUUGACGUCAAUAUAUUUUAACAUCAAAGUUUGGUAAUUUACAGAACAAAUUUAUAGGUGAUGUUUUAUAGACUUUAUCAAAGAAAAUUGUGAAGAAUAUAAUCUACUUUGUAAAAGUCACACACAGACACACAGAAGCUUUGUAUUAUUAUAAGAGAUACUAAUGUAUUUUAACCAAAAAAAUAAAUUUAGCUGCUUCUUUUUGGUCACACAGGAUAGUGAAGUUACCUAUAAAUUAGGGUCUGUCCAUACGUCAAAGCUUCAUCACGAUUUUCUACUUUUUUGCACAAAGUUAUUUAUAAAUAAAUCUAGAAAGUAACAUUUUUGGAUUAUGGAAAAAAUCAUAAUUGCACCAUUUUGGGCAAAAAAGGGUUUCUUGAGUACAGAUCUACAAAUUUUAUUUGGUCUCGUAUGCAGGAAAAUUUGAUCAUUAUUAUUGUUCAUUAGAUUUUUUUCACCAAGUUACUUCUCAAUAAGGGGAAAGUGACAUUCUUGGAUUUUUUAGAAAAAAUCAUAACAAUGCUAUUUUAAGCUAACAACCCAAUAUUUGGCACCUGUAAAUCCAGCUACUUCGAGAGUAAACUAGUGUUACUGAUGAUUAUUAUUACUUUUUUCUAUGAAUGGUUUUAAACAUUAUUGCAGAUCAUUAUCUACAAAUUUUAUUUGGUCACACAUGUGGUCUCUGGUUUCAAAAUUAGCUAAAAAUAUGGUUUUUCACAUUUUCUUAAAAUUGAUAAAAUAUAAUCAAUCUUACCUGAGAACAAAAGAUUAUUUACAAAUUUCAGUUAAUUAAUGUUUGAAAAAAAAUAUGCUACCACCCAAAAGGUUUUUAUGUUUGUCUAAAAAUUUCAUUGUUUAUUGUCAUAUUUGAUAAUCGAGUGUGGAAGUUAGGAUGUAAACUUGUUUUACUGUACAGAAAUAUUUUUGAUAUGGUUUACAUUUUUAGUAAGUAGCACAAUUUAAAUUUUAGAAAAUUUGUCUUUAUUUACGUAUAUAUAUAUAUAUAUUUUUUUUAAUUUUGAGUGUUGUUAAUUAUAAAUUAUAAUAUAUCACGAGGAGAGUAUUUGCAUCCCUAAUUUUUGCUUUUUACUUUACAUAAUAUUAUGAAAUGGAAAUGUUUUUGUAUUCAUUUUAGUUUUACCAUGUGUUACCAAAUUAUUUCCUUAUGAGGAUGGAAUAAUUUUUAAUUUUAUAAAGGAAGAAAGUGUUUGCAGGAGAAACUAUGCAGUCAGGAGAAAGUAUGCAGCCGUCAGGAAAGAUAGAAUAAUUUAAAAAAAAUCUUUCUGAGGAAACAGCAAGAUGAAAGAAUAAUUUUCUGAGGAAACAAUGCAAAAACAUUUCUGAAAGAAAGACAUAGACAAUGCGAAUUUAAAGGAUAAUUUUCGGAGUAAAGGUGCACAAUUAAAACAUAAUUGUCUGAGAAAACAAUGCAAAAUUAAAGAAAACUUUUCAGGAGAAAAACAGCGAAAUUAAAAAAUAAUUUUAUGAUAAUUUUUAUAGGUAACAUUCAUCUUCAAUAAGGAUGAAAGCAUUUCUUUUAUUUUUACUAAUAGAGCCCUGAAAAAUUAUAAUAUAAUUUUAUUAAUGUUCUUAGCACAUGUUCAGUUAAAAGGACGUAAAGUGUCAGUAUUGUAUUCUUUAUAAACAUGUUUCUUAAAUUAGAAAAACAACUAUGUUGCCAUGGGCUUCAUAGCUAACAUCCUCUUUCCAUGUUCAUCUUGAUUUUCUCUUCCAUCCGUGAAGCUUAGAAGAAAAAUACCCUGGAUAAAAAACAACCUAAAAUAUAAAACCCACUAAAAUGUCCAUUUAAAAUGCUUCUCAUGUAAGUUGAGAACAAAACGACUUGUAUAAACCUCUAUUCUCCCCCCAAAGACAACGAAAUCAAUAAAAAAAAUACAAAGACCCUCUUUCCCCCCUCAAAUUUGGACGUCGUUUAAGGAUGACUCUAUACAUUAUGAAAGAAAAAUAGCCAGUGCCCCCUUUCCCAGCCUUGUUACAAAGUUUGUCUGGGAUAGAAAGUGACACAUUUUAUUUAUUUGUAACACGAAGUACAUGAAACACGCGCCCUAUUAAAUUCCUUGGUUUACUAAUUUUGUUACAAACAUUUAUCAAUAAUCCUCUUACUGUUAGCGAUAUAGCGAUAAAGCACAUCGAUAAGUAAAAAUUAUCGUUAUAUGAGAUCUUUUUUAUCUUUCCCUUUUUUGAUAUAUUUAAUUUUUAAUAAAAUUUAUUAUUUUUAAUAAAAGUUGUUAAUUCUUCCACCAUGCUUUUUGCAGGUAAAUUUUGUUAUGAUAAUUAUAUGUGACUGUCUAGGAGAAUUUGAUUUUCAUAUACCCAUGUAGAUGUCUCACCUUGAAUGUUUAUAUUUUCUUCUUCACCAGUAUCUUUCAUUGCUAGUUACUAAAAUAACAAUUAUAAUGUCAAGAUAUUAACAUUUGAUAACCAUCAAAUUAGCAUUUAAUUUUAACGUUACGGCAAACAAAAGUUAAGUAACACUAAAUAAAGUUAACUGUAGCAUUAGAGCAUUAAAAUGAGAUAACACUAUAGUGUUAAUUAUAAUUUCAAAAUUGCGCCAAUAUACGCUAACUAGCCGGGACUCGGCAUCGAAACACAGGGUUAAGCCAAAAGUAACUAUGUUCACUGACUUUACAUAAAAAAUCAAAUGCUAACACAAAGUCUUUGAUAGAGUAACUUCUUAGAAUUGCACCUUUUUGUAGAGACAAAAGCGUUAAAACAUGGAAAAGUAAGGGAUUUGAAAGUUAAACAAAAAUACACGGCUGUAAUAAAAAAUAAACAUAAAAAAUUCAAAUCAUCUGAGACAGGUUUGGUCUUUCUUAAGUUUUAUUAGUUUAGUGGUGAAAUUCUUACAGCAUCAAAUUUGCCUGAAAUUAGUUGAGGACGCACCACAUUAGAUUAAACAAUGUUAAAUUGACAUAUUUCUGUUGCAUCCAAGGUCAAAUGGCUGUCACAAACACAUUAUAUUGCGUUUUUUUGUAUAUACAAAAUUUGGUUAUCACUUAGAAAGUUCUUUUUGGCUAAAAUACAAAAUUACAGUUGUUCUAAAAUGCAGAAACCCAUAAAACAUAUGGAUGAAGAUCUUGACUCCUUACUUAACAACAUCGAAUAAAUUCACUUUAAGAUAGACCACUUACCUAAAGUUGAUCCAAUGUAAUGUAAUGUAACCAAAAAAACGAAAAAUGACAGAAUAUCUUUUUGGUGUUUGCAAUGAAGUACUGUCAAAUAAUCCAAAAAUGUAUAAAGAUUUUAGUAUACAAUGCAAUAAAUGUGACAUCUGGUUUCACUUUCAAUGUGCAAAUAUAUUGAAAUCUGCUAACUAAGACUAAAAAGAAGACUUGUACUGUCUCAAAUGUUUGAAGUAACUUUAAUAAUAGCUGUAUUCUGUUCAAAAGAGUUGUGCCGCAGAUUUAUUUUGGAAACUCUCGUGUGAAGUGGUGUAAGGUUUGUAGGUCUUCUUUUGACCUUUUUCUCUUUUAAAUACUUUGUUUAUAUAGGAAUAUUUAUUUUCUGUAUGUUUAUGUUUAAAUCAUCACGUUUUCUAGCCAUGUAAGAUUUUGGCUCUAAACGUAGAUUUCCAGGUAGCAACCUCUAUUCUCAAUCUCUUGGUAUAUUAAUGUUUAUUUUUAUGUUGGGGUUGUUGCUCUCUAUCUAGCUUUUAAUACCUCUGGUUAAAAAGUGAAAGUAGUAAUUUUUAAAUCAAGGAAACACAGUGUCUUUGUUUCCACAUACUUCCAUAGUAAACUUUAAACCUGAAC